rnacentral:rRNA from 1 species
GGCGGCGUGCCUAACACAUGCAAGUCGAACGAAAUAGGCGAAAGCUUAUUUAGUGGCGGACGGGUGAGUAACACGUAGGUAACCAACCUUGAUGAGGGGAAUAGCCUCCCGAAAGGGAGAAUAAAACCGCAUAAUGUUAUAUAUACGCAUGUAUGUAUAAAGAAAAGAGCAAUCUGCAUCGAGACGGGCCUGCGUCGCAUUAGCUAGUUGGUGGGGUAAAAGCCUACCAAGGCAACGAUGCGUAGCCGAUCUGAGAGGAUGACCGGCCACAUUGGAACUGAGAGACGGUCCAGACUCCUACGGGAGGCAGCAGUGGGGAAUAUUGCACAAUGGGGGGAACCCUGAUGCAGCGACGCCGCGUGAGCGAAGAAGGGCCUUCGGGUUGUAAAGCUCUGUCAUUUGGGAAGAAAUAAGACGGUACCAAAUGAGGAAGCCACGGCUAACUACGUGCCAGCAGCCGCGGUAAUACGUAGGUGGCGAGCGUUGUCCGGAAUGACUGGGCGUAAAGGAUCGUUAGCGGAUAGAUAAU